rnacentral:rRNA from 1 species
GGGAAACUGAGGAUAAUAUUUCAUAGUUGAAUUGGCUUGGAAAAGUUUUUCAAUAAAAGGAAUAAGAAAAAUGGUUCUUAUUUGCUAUAGGAUAGGAUCGUGUUCGAUUAUGGUUGUUGGUGAGAUAAUGGCUCACCAAGCCGAUAAUCGAUAGGGGCCGUGAGAGCGGGAGCCCCGAGAUGGGUACUGAGACAACGACCCAGGCCUUACGAGGCGCAGCAGGCGCGAAACCUCCGCAAUACACGAAAGUGUGACGGGGUUACCCAAAGUGUUCAAUACUGAACUGUGGUAGGUGAGUAAUGUUCCCUACUAGAAAGGAGAGGGCAAGGCUGGUGCCAGCCGCCGCGGUAAAACCAGCUCUUCAAGUGGUCGGGAUAAUUAUUGGGCUUAAAGUGUCCGUAGCUGGUUUAGUAAGUUCCUGGUAAAAUCGGGUAGCUUAACUAUCUGUAUGCUAGGAAUACUGCUAUACUAGAGGGCGGGAGAGGUCUGAGGUACUACAAGGGUAGGGGUGAAAUCUUAUAAUCCUUGUAGGACCACCAGUGGCGAAGGCGUCAGACUGGAAACGCGCCUGACAGUGAGGGACGAAAGCCAGGGGAGCGAACCGGAUUAGAUGCCCGGGUAGUCCUGGCCGUAAACGAUGCAUACUAGGUGAUGGCACGGUCAUGAGCCGUGUCAGUGCCGUAGGGAAACCGUUAAGUGUGCCGCCUGGGAAGUACGGUCGCAAGGCUAAAACUUAA